CACGUAGGGGGCAAGCGUUGUCCGGAAUUAUUGGGCGUAAAGAGCUCGUAGGCGGCUCGGUAAGUCAGGUGUCAAAUCCUCAGGCUCAACCUGGGGCUCCACCUGAUACUGCUGUGGCUAGAGUCCGGUAGGGGAGCGUGGAAUUCCUGGUGUAGCGGUGAAAUGCGCAGAUAUCGGGAAGAACACCCGUGGCGAAGGCGGUUCUCUGGGACGGUACUGACGCUGAGACGCGAAAGCGUGGGGAGCGAACAGG
rnacentral:rRNA from 1 species